UCUCUCUGAAUCUGCGAACGGCUCCGCAAACCAGUUGUAAACUAUAGCAAGCAAGCCUUGUGCCUGCCUUCACGGGUGGGUGCUUGGCGAUAUGGAUAACCCUGGUAAUUCUGAGGCUAAUACAAGAACGUAAAACCUGGCUGACUGCUUUGGUGGAAGGCUGGGGGACGUGCGAGUUGUGUCGCGAGAAUUUUCCGGGAAUGGACGCACGUUCAGACCGCGCUAAAAAGGAUCGGUUUCCCUUCACGGGGGGGCUGGCCCCAGCGGCUCUUGCUUUGUGCUUCUGACCUAUCAACUAGAUGGCAGCGUAACGGACAUGCUAUGGUGACAACGGGUACAGAGGAUUAGGGUUUGAUCCUGGAGAGUGGGCCUGAGAGAUU
rnacentral:rRNA from 1 species